rnacentral:rRNA from 1 species
GAUUUCUGGUUUGACGACAAUCUGGCCCGCCAGGUUCGCCUGUGUGUGUGCCGGGUUGCGUCUGCCAUCCUUCUAAGUUGCUGUUGGCCGCCCUUGAUUGGGUGUUGCUGGUAGUGGCUUAGAUCGUUGACUUUGAACAAAUUAGAGUGUUUCAAGCAGGCUUUAUGCUAUGAAUACAUUAGCAUGGAAUAAUAAUUUAGGACUUCGGUUCUAUUUUGUUGGUUUCUAGGACUGAAGUAAUGAUUGAUAGGGAUAGUUGGGGGUGCUAGUAUUCAGCGGCCAGAGGUGAAAUUCUCGGAUUCGCUGAAGACUAACUUAUGCGAAAGCAUU